UACGAAGGGGGGCUAGCGUUGCUCGGAUUUACUGGGCGUAAAGCGCACGUAGGCGGAUUCUUAAGUCGGUGGUGAAAUCCUGGAGCUCAACUCCAGAACUGCCUUCGAUACUGGGAGUCUUGAGUCCGGGAGAGGUGAGUGGAACUGCGAGUGUAGAGGUGAAAUUCGUAGAUAUUCGCAAGAACACCAGUGGCGAAGGCGGCUCACUGGCCCGAGUACUGACGCUGAGGCACG
rnacentral:rRNA from 1 species